rnacentral:rRNA from 1 species
AUACGUAGGGGGCGAGCGUUGUCCGGAAUUAUUGGGCGUAAAGGGUUCGCAGGCGGUCUGAUAAGUCAGAUGUGAAAGGCAAUGGCUCAACCAUUGUAAGCAUUUGAAACUGUCAGACUUGAGUUAAGGAGAGGAAAGUGGAAUUCCUAGUGUAGCGGUGAAAUGCGUAGAUAUUAGGAGGAAUACCAGUGGCGAAGGCGACUUUCUGGACUUAUACUGACGCUGAGGAACGAAAGCGUGGGGAGCAAACAGGAUUAGAUACCCUGGUAGUCCACGCCGUAAACGAUGAGUGCUAGGUGUUGGGGGUCAAACCUCGGUGCCGCAGCUAACGCAUUAAGCACUCCGCCUGGGGAGUACGUACGCAAGUAUGAAACUUAAAUGAAUUGGCGGGG